rnacentral:misc_RNA from 1 species
AGCACACACGCACCACACCUCCAUCCCUUUGCCGUCACUCAAGAUUGGUCGUCACUACCGCCCCUCACGUAAAAGAACGAAACGGGAGAAGCAACUGUGCUCUUACUCUCUCCAGCUCAUACUUUUUCUUCGGCUAACAUCAGCAGCUUGUGCGUCCGCGGUUUUAUUUCUCCUCCGCGGCAUUCACAACUCAUGUCCAGCCCUCCCUGAGCGCGCACCUGAGAGCGGCAAGUAGAGAAAGGGGCACAGAUACGGCACCAUGGCCUCGAAGCUCAUCCGUGUGCUGGCGGCCGCCCUGCUGGUUGCAGCGGCCGUGUCGGUCGACGCGCGCCUUGUCGUGCGCAUGGUGCAGGUGGUACACCGGCACGGUGCGCGCAGUGCCCUCAUCAACGACAACACGACGGAGAUUUGCGGCACCCUGUACCCGUGCGGUGAGCUAACCGGCGAGGGCGUCGAGAUGGUCCGUGCUAUCGGCGAGUUUGCCCGCAGCCGCUACAACGACCUCUCAUUGGUGGAGAGCCCUCUCUUCCCGUCGACGCAGUACAACUCCUCUCUCGUGUACACCCGCUCCACCCACACCCAGCGCACCAUCCAGAGCGCGACCGCCUUUCUGCGCGGCCUCUUCCAGGACGACUACUUCUACCCGGUCGUGUACUCGCGCAACAGAACGACCGACAUGCUGCUCAGCACCGACGCGGUGCCGUCCGUGAUGGGCCGUAGCUGGCUGGACAACCCGGCGCUGUACGCCGCCCUCAACCCGGUGAUAGAUGAGCACCUCAGCUGGGACGCCAUCCAGAGCGCCGCCAAGGACGCGUGGAUCGAGGGCCUGUGCACGGACUUCAACGCCCGCACCAGCUGCGUCCUCUACAUGUACGACGUGGCCGCCGCCUUCGAGGCUGCCGGGCGUCUUGACAACGCCACCAAUCUCAAGGCGGUGUAUCCGGGCCUUAUGGAGGUGAACGCCGCCUGGUUCAAGUAUGUCUUCAGCUGGAACCACACGAGCAAGCUCGAUCUCACGCAGGGUUCCGCCUCGCAGAACCUUGCGCAGACAAUGCUGGCCAACAUCAACGCCCACCGCCUCUCUCCGUCGUACAACAUGUUCGAGUACAGCGCUCACGACACAACGGUGGUUCCCUUGGCUGUCACAUUCGGUGACCAGGGCAACACGACGAUGCGCCCUCCCUUCGCCGUUACCAUCUUCGUGGAGCUGCUCCAGGACACCGCGGAUGCCAGUGGCUGGUACGUGCGCCUCAUCCGCGGCAACCCCGUGAAGAUAGCCAACGGCACCUACGUCUUCCGGCAGACCGGCAUCGAGGCGCACUGCAUCGACGCAGCCGGCAUCAGGUACCGCGCAUCCGCCGGCAUCUGCCCGCUGGAUGACUUCCGCCGCAUGGUCGACUACUCGCGCCCCGCCGUGGCUGAAGGUCACUGCGCCAUGACGCAGGCUCAGUACAGCAACAUGGGCUGCCCGCGCACCAUCGCCGACAACAAGCCGGUACCGUCGAGGUGCUGGAUCUACCGCUAUGCUUGCCCUAGCAAGGCAUGCCCGGUCACCUACAUCCUCUCCGCGGCCGAUCACCAGUGCUACCCCGGGGCCGGCAUUCCGAACUCCAGCAGCAGCAGCGACGUGACCACCGCCACCGCCAGCAGCGAGGCACCACCAGCAGCAGCGAGGCACCACCGCCAGCAGCAGCGAGGGCACCACCGCCAGCAGCAGCGAGGGCACCACCGCCAGCAGCAGCGAGGCACCACCGCCAGCAGCAGCGACGUGACCACCGCCAGCAGCAGCGAGGGCACCACCACCAGCAGCAGCGAGGGCACCACCGCCAGCAGCAGCGACGUUACCACCGCCAGCAGCGAGGGCACCACCGCCAGCAGCAGCGAGGGCACCACCGCCAGCAGCAGCGACGUGACCACCGCCAGCAGCAGCGAGGGCAUCACCGCCAGCAGCAGCGAGGGCACCACCGCCAGCAGCAGCGACGUUACCACCGCCAGCAGCAGCGAGGGCACCACCACCAGCAGCAGCGAGGGCACCACCGCCAGCAGCAGCGACGUUACCACCGCCAGCAGCAGCGAGGGCACCACCGCCAGCAGCAGCGACGUUACCACCGCCAGCAGCAGCGAGGGCACCACCGCCAGCAGCAGCGAGGGCAUCACCGCCAGCAGCAGCGAGGGCACCACCGCCAGCAGCAGCGAGGGAACGAGUUCAUCGGAUGUCUCUUUCUUCAAAGAGCCUGCAAGCUGGAUGCCGCACGUUUUCUCGCCGAAAAAGGGCCGCCACAUUGCCGCGGAUAUCCUCCGCGGCGUGCCGAACGGCUUUACGGUCGGCGCGGUCGUCCGAAAGCACGAUGAGUAUUACAGCAGGCACCGUCAAUAGUAUAAUGGCAUGUACCUCUUGAGAGCAUGUUUGAAUGGAGAGGAACCUUCUGUGCAGCGUGCCUUGCUUCCAGAAGGUAUCAUAUCCGUUCGUGUCGCCCCGUCUUCUUUUCAUCUUGAUCUCUGCUCUCUCAUAAUGCCUGUGUGUGCUCUGUGUGUACGCGUGUCGCUGUAAAGCCGUCGACGCCAUCGUUCUUACCUUCUGGAUCACUUUUUUCUUUAUUACCACUCCCUUCUCCGCGCGUCCCUCCGCAGUAGAUGUACGACAAAAAAUGGAUCAAUAAAUAAAUAUCCAUGUGUAUGAAUUUCUCUCUGCGCACAUAUAUACGCACACGCACACACGCACGCACAUACGUGCAUACACGUCCCUAGCGCAGAGGAGAUGCGCUACCAAAGACAGCCAUGCAUGUUUCUGUGCACCGUACAUACAUGUAUAUAUAUAUAUGUAAAACAAGAAAAAAAAAACAGAAAAAUGAAAAAGUUUUCUUUUUUCGCUCUUUUUUUCUGUUUUUUCCUCUUUAUCUUUUUUCUUAUAUGUGUGCUUGUGUAUGGUGGCGAGGGACGAAAAGAGUAAAACACAAACGGGAACGUCGCUUACAAUGGAUGUGCGUGCUCGCCAAGAUUCUGUUUAUGUUCUGUUGUUUGCAUAUGUUCUGUGUGCGGGAGGACGUGGGGUUGCGUCAUGUCCACACGCCUAUUCCCGUCGAUUCACAUUGUGAUGUCCUUUCUCUCCAUUUUUUUUGAUUGUGGUGCGGUGUUAUUGUAGUCGCAGUUUUCACAUGCGCACGUACAUGUAUACGAUUUGGGAGUAUGCGUAAGUCUUUUCAUGUUGCGUGCAGAAUUUCUGCAUGGCAUUUUCUGUUUAUCAGCAUUGGUCAUCUCUGCAGAGCACAGAGCUCGUCGUCUCUGUGGUUGUGCAUCUGAUGGUUUGGUCGCUGUGAUGCUGACCUCAUUUUUUUAUUCUUUUGCUCUGUGUUUUAUUUGUGCUCCCCGUCACCAGUGUCUCUCGUUUACGUCCGUCUUCGGCCCUUGCGAAGUGGAACGCAAGGGCGAAUCCGGCAGGCUUGCCGAAUUGGCAAUGCCAGAGGAGCCGCCGCCAACUGCAUGCAUCACGGACCUGGUCGCCGGUCUCAGACGCCACGCCGACAUGCCGCGAAACCCCGCUACACGAUGUGACACGCGACGACAAGUGCUCCUUGGCGGCAGCCGUCCCACACCAGAAGAGCCAGGAUGGCGAGCUCACACGGCGGCAGAAGAUGGCCCUCGCCCAGCCCCGCAGAGGCACCUCUCCGCACCUGGGAUUCCUGCAAUGGCAGGUGGCCGGCGGUGGCAGCACGGCGUGCAGACAGUGUGAUGCCGGCUACGCCGCUAGAACUGUAGCACCUCCGCCCCUCCACCCCCCCAAACACCCCACCCCUCACCUGCCGUUUGCUAUGAGGGCGUCCGACCGGGCGUUGCGCCGGGUGUGCUACGCGCGAUUUGACGACAGCUCGAGGCUCAGAGCACACCUCAUUUCACGCCAUGGUCUUGCACGCAGCGACCAGAGUACGCACAUCUCCCUCGCACCGCAUGUGGCUCCUCCGUCGGGUGUCCAUCGCUGCACCCCUAUGCCCCUCUACAGGCUGGCACGCUAUGGGCCCUUUUGUGCGCUGGCACACGUCUCUGCGCGGGCCCCUUCCGCUUGACACGCCCGCGCCUGUCAGAGGCGUGCGGACUCAGGAGAGGGUGGAAUGCCCCUGCUGCCACAGACUCAUGGCGGCGUCCCACCUGUCGCGGCGCAUGCGGGCAAGCCAUGCAGACACGCCUCCCCCACCCCCCUCGGCGGCAUCCACGGACGUGGGGGGUGAAGACAGCGAGCCCGCCAGACAGCACUGCUGUCCUGCAACGGACCCCGAGGCCCACUGGUGCGGGCACUGUGCGCACGCGCAUGCCGAGCACCGCUGGCAUGUGGUGUGCCGCAUCCGACCGAGGCACGCGGCCGCCAGGAGAGCGCGAGUGAUGAGCGAGAAAGGCGCGAAGGCAUCCACACCUAGGAGCACCACGGUGCACGUGCACGCGCUGUUGCGGCACCUCCUUCAUCCGACCAGGUGGGCUGAUGAGGCGCACAUGCCGGCAGCAUCACGAGAGCACCCUCGAGUCCUGCAGGCGCCGGGGUGGAGAGCGGCCGCACCACAUUGCGGAAUGCCACGGCUCCAGGCCCCUCAGGGCGAGGCAUGGCAUACAGGCAGGGUGUGCAGGGUCUCAGAGGGAGCCUGGCCUGAGGCUGGCCAACCUCCUGCCUACCCCGACCCUCCGGUGAAGGAAAAAAGGGCCUUCAGCUGUGGUUCGGUGCACGCUUUCUCUUUAAUCUUUAGUGGAAGCGCGCCGGUGUUGAGUUGUACGGCAGUGUUCGUGUGCCAAGCAAUCUCUGUUUUUUUCACCUAUUAGUGGGUCUACGGGCUUCUUUGUGCUUUCGUGGCCUCCUCGAACGUUUCGUUUCUAUAUUUUUUUUUCGUUCUUACUGAUGUACCUCGACGGGUCGCUUCUCGCUCUGCGUGUAAUAUAUACAUUUACAUGCAUGCGCUCGUAGUGUCGUGUGGUCUGCCGAUGAAGUAGAUUGUACAGAAGGGAACAGGGAGAGAAGGAGGCUACAGUGCACCGCACAGUAGAACUCCAUCGGCGCGCAUCAUUGCUCAAGGCGCAUCCGUGGAAACAAGCAAACAAAAAGAAACAACUCUUUAAAGACCUAGUUGAAGCGGCUCACAUUUAUCUUCAGUUCCUGCCGCUGUUUCUUCUGAUGCACCACGCUUCCCCACGGACCCUCCUCGUUGCGCCCUACCUCGUCCUCUCCCCAG